UCAACCUAAAAUAAAUUUAGGUUAAGGAAAUUUCUGGAGAACCAUAUUUUUCAUGGAAUGAGGAAGUAAUUUUUUUUGAGGAAAAUUUGGGGGAUCUUUGUGAAGAAAUUUAUCCAGUUGAAGGUGGUACUCUUCAUUUCAACACUUCAAGGAUAGCUAUUCAAGGUUGAGGCAAUUCCAAGUGUGGACCCGGGUUUGAUUCAAGUUUUAAAAUUCACUAUUGUUUUUCUCCUGGAUUGCAUUCCUGGACAAGGUGGAACACAAUCGGCACAUGAUGAAGGUCGUGGUGUGCAUCCUGGUAGUGGAGAGCAUGUAGACCGUGGUGACCAAGUUGAGCAUGAUCCAAGUAGACAACAUUAGGAACGUGAUGGGCCCCACCAGAGGAUUUAGAGGGUGUUCAGGAUGUUAAGGAUGAGGCUAGACAAAAUGGUCAGGAAGAUGAUGUGGCCCCAUCAAUAGACCCCCCUUUGCAUGCGCGUCCUCAUCAUGAGUAUAGGACUAGGCAUACAUUAACUAGAUCAUGAGCAGAGGGUAGAAGAACUAAAGAGGGGAAAAAUGAUGAAGACAACGAUGGUUCGCUUAGUCUUUAUGCCCAAGCUU